GUAAAUCCGGAUACUCUUAAGGCUGAGACACGACGUCGAGCUACUACGGUAGUGAAGUCAUUGAUGCCAUGCUUCCAGGAAAAGCCUCUAAGCUUCAGAUUGUAAGGAAUCGUACCCCAAACCGACACAGGUGGUCGGGUAGAGAAUACCAAGGCGCUUGAGAGAACUCGGGUGAAGGAACUAGGCAAAAUGGUACCGUAACUUCGGGAGAAGGUACGCUCUUGAUGGUGAAGUCCCUUGCGGAUGGAGCUGACGAGAGUCGCAGAUACCAGGUGGCUGCAACUGUUUAUUAAAAACACAGCACUGUGCAAAAUCGUAAGAUGACGUAUACGGUGUGACGCCUGCCCGGUGCCGGAAGGUUAAUUGAUGGGGUUAGCGUAAGCGAAGCUCUUGAUCGAAGCCCCGGUAAACGGCGGCCGUAACUAUAACGGUCCUAAGGUAGCGAAAUUCCUUGUCGGGUAAGUUCCGACCUGCACGAAUGGCGUAAUGAUGGCCACGCUGUCUCCACCCGAGACUCAGUGAAAUUGAAAUCGCUGUGAAGAUGCAGUGUACCCGCGGCUAGACGGAAAGACCCCGUGAACCUUUACUACAGCUUGGCACUGAACAUUGAACCUACAUGUGUAGGAUAGGUGGGAGGCUUUGAAGACGUGACGCCAGUUGCGUUGGAGCCGUCCUUGAAAUACCACCCUUGUAUGUUUGAUGUUCUAACGUUGGCCCCUAAUCGGGGUUGCGGACAGUGCCUGGUGGGUAGUUUGACUGGGGCGGUCUCCUCCCAAAGAGUAACGGAGGAGCACGAAGGUGGGCUAAUCACGGUUGGACAUCGUGAGGUUAGUGCAAUGGCAUAAGCCCGCUUAACUGCGAGAAUGACGGUUCGAGCAGGUGCGAAAGCAGGUCAUAGUGAUCCGGUGGUUCUGAAUGGAAGGGCCAUCGCUCAACGGAUAAAAGGUACUCCGGGGAUAACAGGCUGAUACCGCCCAAGAGUUCAUAUCGACGGCGGUGUUUGGCACCUCGAUGUCGGCUCAUCACAUCCUGGGGCUGAAGUCGGUCCCAAGGGUAUGGCUGUUCGCCAUUUAAAGUGGUACGCGAGCUGGGUUUAGAACGUCGUGAGACAGUUCGGUCCCUAUCUGCCGUGGGCGUUGGAAGAUUGAAGGGGGCUGCUCCUAGUACGAGAGGACCGGAGUGGACGAACCUCUGGUGUUCGGGUUGUGUCGCCAGACGCAUUGCCCGGUAGCUAAGUUCGGAAUCGAUAACCGCUGAAAGCAUCUAAGCGGGAAGCGAGCCCUGAGAUGAGUCUUCCCUGAUACUUUAAGUAUCCUGAAGGGUUGUUCGAGACUAGAACGUUGAUAGGCAGGGUGUGUAAGCGCUGUGAGGCGUUGAGCUAACCUGUACUAAUUGCCCGUGAGGCUUAACCAU
rnacentral:rRNA from 1 species